rnacentral:rRNA from 1 species
UUGACCUCGGAUCAGGUAGGAUACCCGCUGAACUUAAGCAUAUCAA